CGUCUAGGCGGGGAAUUAAGUUAGGUGUGAAAUCCAUGGGCUCAACUCGUGAAUUGCAUCUAAAACUGAUUCUCUUGAGUUCGGGAGAGGAGAGCGGAAUUCCCGGUGUAGCGGUGAAAUGCGUAGAUAUCGGGAAGAACACCAGUGGCGAAGGCGGCUCUCUGGCCUAGAACUGACGCUGAAGCGCGAAAGCGUGGGGAGCGAACG
rnacentral:rRNA from 1 species